AAGGAGUCUAACAUAUCUGCGAGUAUUUGGGUGUCAAACCCGAGCGCGCAAUUAAAGUGAACGUAGGAGAUACGCGCAAGCUGCACCUUCCACCGAUCUGGAUCUUUAGUGAUGGAUUUGAGUAAGAGCAUAUGUGUUAGGACCCGAAAGAUGGUGAACUAUGCCUGAAUAGGGUGAAGCCAGAGGAAACUCUGGUGGAGGCUCGUAGCGGUUCUGACGUGCAAAUCGAUCGUCAAAUUUGGGUAUAGGGGCGAAAGACUAAUCGAACCAUCUAGUAGCUGGUUCCUG
rnacentral:misc_RNA from 1 species